AUUUCAAAGCAUUAUUUACUACAGUGUUGUUUCUAGGCAGUUACAUGGAUCACCUAUGCUCACUAAAUUCAUUAUUGAUAAACAAAACACCUACGGACAGAAUAGCAAGCCCAACUUACCCACAAAAGCUAAAAUUCAUGUCAUUGACUAGAGUGACUACAACUGAUCAGGUGCUGAAACAGGACAGGAAAAUUUAGGAAGGAAGGCCCUUUCCCUCAGAGCUUGAAGGCUUCUCUGUUGCCUUUGCCAACAAGUAUGGGGAAAAAAGAUGAAAACUUUCAAUAUUUAAGCUUUUUGGGCACUUCCCAUGGGAAGCUGUCCCUACCAAAGUGGCCAUAGGCUGCAGUCCUCUGAUAAAUUGGCUUCUUCAGAUCCAGAUCCCUGACAAUGACCCUAGGGUGGAGAUCAAAAUUCUUCUUUAUAAUCUCUAGUAGCUCCCUCUCACUCUUCUGAGAGGUACUAUAAUGGAAAACAGAGAUAGAUAAUGGAUGAGAAACUCCAAUAGAAUAAGAGACCUGAACAAGAACCGUUCUGCACAGACCUCCUUUAACAAGGGAUUUUGCCACUGAAUGAGCAGCAUAGGCAGCUGAACGGUUGAUCUUAGUAUAAUCCUUUCCUCAAAGGCACCUCCUCCAUGAACACCCCAACCUCUGUAAGUGUCCAUAAUGGUUUUCUGUCCAGUCAUACAAACCAGCAUCACCCCGAGGCACACCAAUAACAAGUCUGCCACUUGGCUAUAGGUGGUAGAUUGUAUCCUCAUCAAGGUAUUUUGCAGGCACAAUGGCUUUGAUGACUUUCUCCUUUAGGGCAUCCCUCAUCUCACCAAGACGAACCUCUUCAUCAUGCCAAACAGAUAUAACAAUUGUGUGGACUCUGAUGGGAAGCAUAGCACCUCAAUCCUGCAUAUAGUGCACAGUAACUUGAGUUGUAGAAUCAGGGCAUAACCCAGGCAAAGUGCCAUUAUGGCGUAGUUCUGCCAGUUUGGCUUUAAGCUUGUAUGCUAAGACAAUGGUUAAAGGCCUACAUACACUCCUCAGUUUCAUCAGUGGCGUAGCCAAACAUCAAGCCCUGGUCUCCAACACCAAUGUCUUCUUCAUUUCUGUCAAGAUGAACACCUUCAGAAAUAUCUGGUGACUGUUGCUCCAAGGCUACCAGCACAUUACAAGUCUUGUAGUCAAACCCUUUGGAAGAAUCAUCAUAUCCAAUGUGUUUAAUAGCUUCACGAAGCAUUUUCUGUUAGUCAACAGCAGCUCUGGAUGUAAUUUCACGUGCAAGAAGGAUCAUUCCAGUUUUAGCAACAGUUUCACAAGCUACUUUGGCAUCAGGAUUUUGUUGAAGGUGGGCAUCAAGGACAGCCUCACUGAUCUGGUCACAGAUCUUAUCUGGGUGGGCCUUCCCCCACCAACUCUGAGGUGAAGAGGAAUGUGCCCUUCUCAAUGAACACCUAGUGGAAGCUGUUGAGCUCCCGUUCAUGUUGGUGUUGGUGGCAGUGAGUGGAAGUGGCGUUGAGAAGGAGCAGCGGCAAGAUGGCAGCUGCGAAAUGCGCAAGUUGCAGACGGCAUUCUACUCAGUGCG
rnacentral:lncRNA from 1 species